rnacentral:rRNA from 1 species
AAAUUGAAGAGUUUGAUCAUGGCUCAGAUUGAACGCUGGCGGCAGGCCUAACACAUGCAAGUCGAACGGUAACAGGAAGAAGCUUGCUUCUUUGCUGACGAGUGGCGGACGGGUGAGUAAUGUCUGGGAAACUGCCUGAUGGAGGGGGAUAACUACUGGAAACGGUAGCUAAUACCGCAUAACGUCGCAAGACCAAAGAGGGGGACCUUCGGGCCUCUUGCCAUCGGAUGUGCCCAGAUGGGAUUAGCUAGUUGGUGAGGUAACGGCUCACCAAGGCGACGAUCCCUAGCUGGUCUGAGAGGAUGACCAGCCACACUGGAACUGAGACACGGUCCAGACUCCUACGGGAGGCAGCAGUGGGGAAUAUUGCACAAUGGGCGCAAGCCUGAUGCAGCCAUGCCGCGUGUAUGAAGAAGGCCUUCGGGUUGUAAAGUACUUUCAGCGGGGAGGAAGGGGGUAAAGUUAAUACCUUUGCUCAUUGACGUUACCCGCAGAAGAAGCACCGGCUAACUCCGUGCCAGCAGCCGCGGUAAUACGGAGGGUGCAAGCGUUAAUCGGAAUUACUGGGCGUAAAGCGCACGCAGGCGGUUUGUUAAGUCAGAUGUGAAAUCCCCGGGCUCAACCUGGGAACUGCAUCUGAUACUGGCAAGCUUGAGUCUCGUAGAGGGGGGUAGAAUUCCAGGUGUAGCGGUGAAAUGCGUAGAGAUCUGGAGGAAUACCGGUGGCGAAGGCGGCCCCCUGGACGAAGACUGACGCUCAGGUGCGAAAGCGUGGGGAGCAAACAGGAUUAGAUACCCUGGUAGUCCACGCCGUAAACGAUGUCGACUUGGAGGUUGUGCCCUUGAGGCGUGGCUUCCGGAGCUAACGCGUUAAGUCGACCGCCUGGGGAGUACGGCCGCAAGGUUAAAACUCAAAUGAAUUGACGGGGGCCCGCACAAGCGGUGGAGCAUGUGGUUUAAUUCGAUGCAACGCGAAGAACCUUACCUGGUCUUGACAUCCACGGAAGUUUUCAGAGAUGAGAAUGUGCCUUCGGGAACCGUGAGACAGGUGCUGCAUGGCUGUCGUCAGCUCGUGUUGUGAAAUGUUGGGUUAAGUCCCGCAACGAGCGCAACCCUUAUCCUUUGUUGCCAGCGGUUAGGCCGGGAACUCAAAGGAGACUGCCAGUGAUAAACUGGAGGAAGGUGGGGAUGACGUCAAGUCAUCAUGGCCCUUACGACCAGGGCUACACACGUGCUACAAUGGCGCAUACAAAGAGAAGCGACCUCGCGAGAGCAAGCGGACCUCAUAAAGUGCGUCGUAGUCCGGAUUGGAGUCUGCAACUCGACUCCAUGAAGUCGGAAUCGCUAGUAAUCGUGGAUCAGAAUGCCACGGUGAAUACGUUCCCGGGCCUUGUACACACCGCCCGUCACACCAUGGGAGUGGGUUGCAAAAGAAGUAGGUAGCUUAACCUUCGGGAGGGCGCUUACCACUUUGUGAUUCAUGACUGGGGUGAAGUCGUAACAAGGUAACCGUAGGGGAACCUGCGGUUGGAUCACCUCCUUA